rnacentral:rRNA from 1 species
GGCCCAGAUCGUUUACCGUGAAAAAAUUAGAGUGUUCAAAGCAGGCAGAUCCAAUUUUCAGCCACCGAAUACAUUAGCAUGGGAUAAUGGAAUAGGACCCUGUCCUCCUAUUUUCAGUUGGUUUUGGCAGCGCGAGGACUAGGGUAAUGAUUAAUAGGGAUAGUUGGGGGCAUUAAUAUUUAAUUCGUCAGAGGUGAAAUUCUUGGAUUUAAGAAAGGAUGUAUACAAACUUCUGCGAAAGCAUCUGCCCAGGAUGUUUUCAUUAAUCAAGAACGAAAGUUAGGGGAUCGAAGACGAUCAGAUACCGUCGUAGUCUUAACCAUAAACGAUGCCGACCAGCGAUUAGGAGACGUUGAAUACAAAACACCACCAUCGGUUGCGGUCGUCCUUGGCGUCGGUCUUUCGGGGCCGGCGCGGGGACGGCUUAGCCCGGUGGCACCGGUGAAUGACUCCCUAGCAGCUUGUGAGAGAAUACGACGGUAUGGGCAU